GUGCUUGCUUCUGCAGCACAUAUACUAAAAUGGCAAUGAUACAGAGAAGAUUAGCAUGGCCUCUGUGCAAGGAUGAUGCAAAUUUGUGAAGUGUUUAAAUUUAAA
rnacentral:snRNA from 1 species